UCACCCAGUAACCCAACCUAGAAACCUUGGUCAUUCUUGAUUUCUCCUUGUCCUCCACCUGUUUGCUCUCAAGGGGUGGGAAUGGUUGGCUCUGGAAUGGCCUUUGAUUACCUCUUCCCUCUGUCUCCCAGGCCUCCAGAGGCCCUUGAUGGCUCUCCCAGUGUCCUCUCUCCUCCAGGAACGGGCUACCUGUGCAGGCUGAUGGCCACCGUGUCCACCAGUCCCCAGAUGGCACGCUGCUCAUUUACAACUUGCGGGCCAGGGAUGAGGGCUCCUACACAUGCAGUGCCUACCGGGGGAGUCAGGCAGUCAGCCGCAGCACCGAGGUGAAGGUGGUCUCACCAGCACCCACCGCCCAGCCCAGGGACCCUGGCAGGGACUGCGUCGACCAGCCAGAGCUGGCCAACUGUGAUUUGAUCCUGCAGGCCCAGCUUUGUGGCAAUGAGUAUUACUCCAGCUUCUGCUGUGCCAGCUGUUCACGUUUCCAGCCUCACGCUCAGCCCAUCUGGCAGUAGGGAUGAAGGCUAGUUCCAGCCCCAGUCCAAAAUAGUUCAUAGGGCUAGGGAGAAAGGAAGAUGGACUCUUGGCUUCCUUUCUCUGGCUGGCAAAGGGAGUUAUCUUCUGGAAUACAUUAGCUCUUUCAAAAACCCACCCAGUGUUUAGCCUCAACGGCAGCCAGUACCAGCUUCCCUCUGUAGCCUUCAGCAGUGUUUGCAUCUCUGACAUAACCACAGGCUGCUGUUUUCAAGAAGAGCAAUCUGUUUGGAUAAGAAAAACCUUUAC
rnacentral:sRNA from 1 species